rnacentral:misc_RNA from 1 species
UAGUAUCAACGAGUAUCAACGAGUAUCGAGAGAUUUAUAUUUAGUACUAACGACUCACGUGUACGGCUGUAAAUUUAUUUAUUUAUUUAUUCCAAAAUAUUUGACGGGCUGCGACGGCAAUAUAAGCUUUCGUUAUUUCACACUAUCUAUCCUCGACUAAUCCUCCACACAUAGAAUCGAUUAAAAUAUUGUCACUGUUACAAGCAAAAGCUUUUAAAUACAACUGUCGUUUCCUAGUUCUCAAUUUCGUUGAAAAACCGGUAUUCAAAUAUCGUAAUAUUAUUGGAAGAAAGGCUAAAUAUUCGCUCAGUAGAUGAUUAUCACAGCCAGGCUCUUUAAAUCAAUCAUUAACGUCGAUACAACGCUC